rnacentral:rRNA from 1 species
AACGUAGGUGGCAAGCGUUAUCCGGAUUUACUGGGCGUAAAGGGUGUGCAGGCGGGGAACCAAGUGGUGUAUGAAAUCUCCCAGCUUAACUGGGAUAGGUUAUGCCAGACUGGUUUUCUAGAGUGCGAGAGAGGGGCGUGGAAUUCCGGGUGUAGUGGUGAAAUGCGUAGAGAUCCGGAGGAACCCCAGAGGCGAAGGCGGCGCCCUGGCUCGCAACUGACGCUCAAACACGACAGCAUGGGGAGCGAACGGG